rnacentral:rRNA from 1 species
GAUGAACGCUGGCGGCGUGCCUAAUACAUGCAAGUCGAGCGAAGCGGGGACGGGUGAGUAACACGUGGAUAACCUCCUAUAAGACUGGGAUAACUUCGGGAACCCGGAGCUACACCGGAUACUUAUAGAUGGAUCUGCGCUGCAUUAGCUAGUUGGUAAGGUAACGGCUUACCAAGGCAACGAUGCAUAGCCGACCUGAGAGGGGUAUAGGCCAACAAGGAACGUGGACACGGUCCAGGCUCCCAAGGGAGGGAGCAGUAGGGAAUCUUCCGCCAUGGGCGAAAGCCCGACGGAGAAACGCCCGCGUAGUGAUGAAGGGUUUCGGAUCGUAAAACUUUGGUAUUAAGUAAGAGGUACCCAAUCCGAAAGCCACGGCUAACUACGUGCCAGCAGCCGCGGUAAUUC